GACAUCCCCAAUGUCCAAGGUGUCGGGAAGAUUUUCAGGAGACUCAAAAGUGUCAAACUGCAUACACAAAAAUCACACAUUUGUAUAAUCCAAAAUGCUAUCAGGCCCAGAUUUACAAAAUUAGGAGGGAGUUAGGCAUUGCAGUGAAACAGCUGUGCUCAAAAUCCAAAGCAUCAAAACAGCACUUCUGACAAAACUGGAUCUAACAAGCUUAUUCUAGCAGCUGUGUUUUAUAGUUCUGGAUUUUGCACACCACAGAGCCAAGCUGGGCUUUUCAAGUCAAUGAAAAUGGAAUUUUUAAAAUGUAAUUCUACAAUAA
rnacentral:misc_RNA from 1 species